UUUGCGCUAGAGUUAGCUCUAAGGGCCAACCCCCAAACCUCCGGCUGCCACCUCGCGCUCCCCUUCCAGAGCGAGAGAGAGAGAGAGCUAGGGUUCCGCUCUCCCAUCCCCAUCCCCAUCCCCAUCCCCGCAGCCGUCGCCUCCUCUCCUCUCCCCGCGGCCCCCGAACGCCGGCCACCGGCGAGAUCCGACCGACCGACGGCUGCUUAAGCUUGAGACAUGUCGCAUUCCAACCAAGUGAGGUACACCGCGCGCUCCAUCACGCCCCCGGCCGACAGGGACAGCGGCUCCAAGUCGCCCCCGCCCAGGAGGCGCGCCGCUUCCAAGUCCCCUCCCCUGCCACCUCCUCCCCCUUUUCCUCCCAAGGGGGUGCGCACCAUCUCCAGCUCCCCUCCGCCAACAAGACGCACCGUCUCAAGGUCCCCUCCACCAAAGAGGCGCGCCAGGUCAAGGUCAAGGUCCAGAUCCAGGUCCAGGAACAGGAACAGGAGCAGGAGCCGCUCCAGGAGCAGAGAUAAAGACCAAGUCAGGAAUCCUGGGAACAACCUCUAUGUCACUGGACUGUCCAUACGGACACAAGAAACUGACCUGGAGAAGUUCUUCAGUAAAGAGGGCAAGGUUAAAGACUGCCGUGUCGUUACGGACCCUCGUACCAAGGAAUCACGUGGCUUUGCGUUUGUCACCAUGGAGAAUGUUGAGGAUGCAAGGCGCUGCAUCAAGUACUUGCACCACACUGUACUUGAAGGCCGCCUCAUCAGUGUGGCAAAGAAUUAUUGAACUAAAUGCUGGCUGCACCCACCUGUUGGUUUGUACAACCUCUUCUUCAACCUUACAAUCUGUUGCCUCUCGAAUCUCCAUCACCCUCACGAACAUCGCCAUCACGCUUGUGAUCAUCGCCAUCACCCUCGCGAUCAUCGCCUACUGCGCUGUCUGCACCGACUUCGAGUGAUUUGACGGCUCGGAAUGCUGCACUGCUACGCGUCACCACCGGCUGACCGAGCACCUCAAGUCAUGCUGGUGAUCUUGGGAGUGAGAGCACGGCUCUCAAACGCUGCACUGCUACGCGUCGCCACCGACUGACCGAGCACCUCAAGUCAUGCUGGUGAUCUUGGAGCGAGAGCACGGCUCUCAAGGCUGCACUGCUACGCGUCACCACCGACUGACCGGGCGCCUUGAGCCAUUCUGGUGAUCCUGGAGAGAGAGCGCGGCUCUCAAGGCUGCACUGCUACGCAUCACCACCGACCGACCGCGCACCUCAAGCCAUUCUGGUGAUCCUGGAGUGAGAGCAUGGCUCUCAACGCUGCACCGCUAAGCGUCACCACCGUAGACCUCCUCGUGUUGCGUGUAGCUACUGUGGUACGUGGUACUACAUUCUUGGAGCUACUGUGGCAAGGAGAACUCGUGAGAGGACCCCAACUCCUGGAGAAUACUGUGGUCCAAGAGGUGGGCGCUCCCGAGUGGAACCGCGGAGCCGUUCUCCAUCUCGUCGGUCUAGCAGGUCGUCGAGGGACCGCUCGAGGUCCCCGGCCGGAAGGAGGGACAGAGA